GAUGAACGCUGGCGGCGUGCCUAAUACAUGCAAGUAGAACGCUGAAGCUUGGUGCUUGCACCGAGCGGAUGAGUUGCGAACGGGUGAGUAACGCGUAGGUAACCUGCCUCUUAGCGGGGGAUAACUAUUGGAAACGAUAGCUAAUACCGCAUAAAAGACGAUAUCGCAUGAUGUUGAUUUGAAAGGUGCAAUUGCAUCACUAAGAGAUGGACCUGCGUUGUAUUAGCUAGUUGGUGAGGUAACGGCUCACCAAGGCGACGAUACAUAGCCGACCUGAGAGGGUGAUCGGCCACACUGGGACUGAGACACGGCCCAGACUCCUACGGGAGGCAGCAGUAGGGAAUCUUCGGCAAUGGGGGCAACCCUGACCGAGCAACGCCGCGUGAGUGAAGAAGGUUUUCGGAUCGUAAAGCUCUGUUGUAAGAGAAGAACGAGUGUGAGAGUGGAAAGUUCACACUGUGACGGUAACUUACCAGAAAGGGACGGCUAACUACGUGCCAGCAGCCGCGGUAAUACGUAGGUCCCGAGCGUUAUCCGGAUUUAUUGGGCGUAAAGCGAGCGCAGGCGGUUAGAUAAGUCUGAAGUUAAAGGCUGUGGCUUAACCAUAGUACGCUUUGGAAACUGUUUAACUUGAGUGCAGAAGGGGAGAGUGGAAUUCCAUGUGUAGCGGUGAAAUGCGUAGAUAUAUGGAGGAACGCCGGUGGCGAAAGCGGCUCUCUGGUCUGUAACUGACGCUGAGGCUCGAAAGCGUGGGGAGCAAACAGG
rnacentral:rRNA from 1 species